rnacentral:rRNA from 1 species
AGUGAACGCUGGCGGUAGGCCUAACACAUGCAAGUCGAACGGCAGCACAGUAAGAGCUUGCUCUUACGGGUGGCGAGUGGCGGACGGGUGAGGAAUACAUCGGACUCUACUUUUUCGUGGGGGAUAACGUAGGGAAACUUACGCUAAUACCGCAUACGACCUACGGGUGAAAGCAGGAGAUCUUCGGAUCUUGCGCGAUUGAAUGAGCCGAUGUCGGGUUAGCUAGUUGGCGGGGUAAAGGCCCACCAAGGCGACGAUCCGUAGCUGGUCUGAGAGGAUGAUCAGCCGCACUGGAACUGAGACACGGUCCAGACUACUACGAGAGGCAGCAGUGGGGAAUAGUGGGCAGUGGGCGCAAGCCUGGUCCAGCCAUACCGCGUGGGUGAAGGAGGCCUUCGGGUUGGAAAGCCCUUUUGUUGGGAAAGAAAAGCAGCAGGUUAAUACCCCGCUGUUCUGACGGUACCCAAAUAAUAAGCACCGGCUAACUUCGUG